AAUUGUAUAGAGAUUUUGCGACGGUAUUAAUUGUCGUCGCCCCUAGUGGUCGCCAACCACUAUGAGUUUACUUCGGCAAGCAUUAGCCGUCGCAAGUUUUUAACAGUUUGCUACUGCAAAACACUUGGCGUCGCUUUAGGGUGGUUUUAACAAUAUCUGAACGAUUCUAUCUCUUUGAUUAAAAGAAAACAUCUUUUCUUUCUCUGCUCUGCUCUCUUUCUUCUUUGACCCCAUGACUCCAUCUCGAUCCGACACUGAUGAAUACUUUCAGAUUUCCUCCUCUCUCCAUGACUGCCUUAAGCUAUUUUCCUCUCUAGAUCUGCCAAAUUCGUAGCAGAAUGUAACCGACUAAUUGCUUCGAUUUCGGUCCUGUCGAGUUUACCAGGCUAUCUACAAACCAAUCGUUCCUCACAAGAUCCUUCCUCUGGGUGAGAAACAAAAGGAAAAGAAACCCAGAGGAGAUCCUAUGGGGUCAGUUUGGUGCCGAUAUUGUUGUGGAGUCUACUGGAGUGUUCACUGACAAGGACAAAGCUGCUGCGCACUGAAAGUGAGGCAGACAAUGGGAUUAAGAAACCAGAAUUUUCAAGGAAUCCUAGAUAUCAUCCAUAUGGAUGAAGUAUAUCCUGCAAAAGAAUCUUGGUCCAGAAUGCUAUUUGGAAAGGAAAAUGUCAAGGGAAAGGAUAUCCUGGAAAUCAACCAUCCCGAAAGUCCUUUCGGCACAAAGACCAGAGUGAUAUGAAAUUUUAGUAAAUUUAGGUUCUGUAUAAAAUUUAAGAAAAUCAAACAGAAACUGGCAGCAUCGCAUUGCCGAGCAGCCUAGUUUUAGCUGAGGUUUAAAUAUUAGCGCAUUUUUGUAUCUGUAUAAUCAUACCUCAAAUAUAAUCUAUCCAAGCUUUGUAUUUCAAAUUUAAUUAUCGUUUG